ACCUGCGGAAGGAUCAUUGUCGUGACCCUGACCAACACAGACCGUGAACGUGUCAUCUAUGCCGCCGAGUGACGGGACUUGCACCCGUCGCUCGGUAGUGGCCACCGACCUUCUUGCGGAGGGGAGUGGCUGCAAAAGAACCCACGGCGCCAGAUGGUGCCAAGGAAAACUAAUAUUGCCUUGCUCGGGGCAAUGUCCGGCCUGCCGGAUGCACCCCGUGCAGCGAUGCUAUGUUAAUCCGUAUGACUCUUGGCAAUGGAUAUCUCGGCUCUUGCAUCGAUGAAGAACGUAGCAAAAUGCGAUACCUGGUGUGAAUUGCAGAAUCCCGUGAACCAUCGAGUUUUUGAACGCAAGUUGCGCCUGAGGCCUUCUGGCCGAGGGCACGUCUGCCUGGGCGUCACGCCGAAAGACACUCCCUGCCUUCCCGGUGUGGACGUGGUGUUUGGCCCCUCGUGCCGCAGGGCACGGCGAGCCAAAGUUUGGGCUGCCGGCGGUGCCGAUCACAGCACAUGGUGGAUGGCUCAAGUCAUUCUCGGUGCCAUGCUGCGGACCGAUACCGGUGAUAAAGGCCUUGUUGACCCAUGGAUCGAAGCGCAAGUUGCUCGGGACCGCGACCCCAGGUCAGUCGGGAUUACCCGCUGAAUUUAAGCAU
rnacentral:rRNA from 1 species